UACGUAGGGUCCGAGCGUUGUCCGGAAUUACUGGGCGUAAAGCGCACGUAGGCGGCUUUGUAAGUUAGAGGUGAAAGCCCGGGGCUCAACUCCGGAACUGCCUUUAAAACUGCAUCGCUUGAAUCCAGGAGAGGUGAGUGGAAUUCCGAGUGUAGAGGUGAAAUUCGUAGAUAUUCGGAAGAACACCAGUGGCGAAGGCGGCUCACUGGACUGGUAUUGACGCUGAGGUGCGAAAGCGUGGGGAGCAAACAGG
rnacentral:rRNA from 1 species